rnacentral:sRNA from 1 species
GAUAGGGGGGUUCCAUCUCCCAACUUGUCCAUUUUGUUGCAUAUUCUAAGGACCCAGACAUAGGCUUGGUGGCCCGUCUCUUGUCUUUCCUGGUUUAUGACUUUCGGCUUUGUGGAAUACGGCUGAGAUGAAAGGAUUUAUUGAUGAUGCAAACUACUCCGUUGGCCUGUUGGAUGAAGGAACAAACCUUGGAAAUGUUAUUGAUAACUAUGUUUAUGAACAUACCCUGACAGGGAAAAAUGCAUUUUUUGUGGGAGAUCUUGGAAAGAUUGUGAAGAAACACAGUCAAUGGCAGAAUGUAGUGGCUCAGAUAAAGCCAUUCUACACAGUGAAGUGCAACUCUGCUCCAGCUGUACUUGAGAUUUUGGCAGCUCUUGGAACUGGAUUUGCUUGUUCCAGUAAAAAUGAAAUGGCUUUAGUGCAAGAGUUGGGUGUACCUCCAGAAAACAUUAUUUACAUAAGUCCUUGCAAGCAAGUGUCUCAGAUAAAGUAUGCAGCAAAAGUUGGAGUGAAUAUCCUGACAUGUGACAAUGAAAUUGAAUUGAAGAAAAUUGCACGUAAUCACCCAAAUGCCAAGAUUGUUUUUCAUUAGGUUCACUUGAUUCAUCCGUCGCUGGAUUUGGGAGCACUGGCAACAUAAUCAACACACUUCCUACAAUCUUCAGGCUUCACAUGUGCUGAUGAUGAUGUAAACCAACUCUGCCCCAAUCAUCUCCCCUUCUCUUAGGGUCUUACUACAUAUUGCAACAGAAGAUAAUAUUGGAGGUGAAGAGGGUAACAUGAAGUUUGGCACUACCCUGAAGAACUGUAGGCAUCUCUUGGAAUGUGCUAAGGAACUUGAUGUCCAAAUAAUUGGGGUUAAGUGAGUAUUU